AUUGAACGCUGGCGGCAGGCCUAACACAUGCAAGUCGAGCGGAUGAAGGGAGCUUGCUCCUGGAUUCAGCGGCGGACGGGUGAGUAAUGCCUAGGAAUCUGCCUGGUAGUGGGGGAUAACGUCCGGAAACGGGCGCUAAUACCGCAUACGUCCUGAGGGAGAAAGUGGGGGAUCUUCGGACCUCACGCUAUCAGAUGAGCCUAGGUCGGAUUAGCUAGUUGGUGGGGUAAAGGCCUACCAAGGCGACGAUCCGUAACUGGUCUGAGAGGAUGAUCAGUCACACUGGAACUGAGACACGGUCCAGACUCCUACGGGAGGCAGCAGUGGGGAAUAUUGGACAAUGGGCGCAAGCCUGAUCCAGCCAUGCCGCGUGUGUGAAGAAGGUCUUCGGAUUGUAAAGCACUUUAAGUUGGGGGGAAGGGCAGUAAGUUAAUACCUUGCUGUUUUGACGUUACCAACAGAAUAAGCACCGGCUAACUUCGUG
rnacentral:rRNA from 1 species